UACGGAGGGUGCAAGCGUUAUCCGGAUUUACUGGGUUUAAAGGGUGCGUAGGUGGGCGAGAAAGUCAGUGGUGAAAUCUCCGGGCUUAACCCGGAAACUGCCAUUGAUACUAUUUGUCCUGAAUACUUUGGAGGUAAGCGGAAUAUGUCAUGUAGCGGUGAAAUGCUUAGAUAUGACAUAGAACACCAAUUGCGCAGGCAGCUUACUACACAGUAAUUGACACUGAGGCACGAAAGCGUGGGGAUCAAACAGG
rnacentral:rRNA from 1 species